CAGUCGCCGCGGUAAUACAGAGGGUGCGAGCGUUAAUCGGAUUUACUGGGCGUAAAGAGUGCGUAGGCGGCUUUUUAAGUCGGAUGUGAAAUCCCUGAGCUUAACUUAGGAAUUGCAUUCGAUACUGGGAAGCUAGAGUAUGGGAGAGGAUGGUAGAAUUCCAGGUGUAGCGGUGAAAUGCGUAGAGAUCUGGAGGAAUACCGAUGGCGAAGGCAGCCAUCUGGCCUAAUACUGACGCUGAGGUACGAAAGCAUGGGGAGCAAACAGGAUUAGAUACCCCAGUAGUCCCUGUCUCUUAUAA
rnacentral:rRNA from 1 species